rnacentral:lncRNA from 1 species
GAUGGAUUUGGGAACGGUGGCAUCGAUGAGGGCGUCAAGAGAACCGAAGCCGCAGGAUGCGGCCAUGGUGGACUGGUCGUCGGGCGUGGCGGAGUUAUGGCGGCGGGGGAACGUGUCAGAGGGGCGGAGGGCGUCGACGGAGAUGGAGCGGUACUGGCCAUUACGGAGCAGGGAGUCGGCAGCGGCGGGUGGGCGGAGGAGGGAGUUGCCGGUAGGGAAGACAGAGGACGAGGCGAGGGAGGAGAGGUGGCGGGUUGUGGCAGGCGUCGGCGCCGACGAAUUCGUCUGGGAGAUCAGGCGUCGGAGAAUUCCCCGGCUCGCCAACUUUCGAGCGCGCUCCAUUGGAAACCUAACAAACACCAACAAAGAUCUCUGCUUUACACCGAACACUCCCCAAAAAAGUCACUUCUUUACGCCAACGAACCCCUAAAGAGCUGUUUUUUCAAUUCA